AUGUUCGUUAUCUCGGCAAGGUUUUACGGUGGUGUUAACUGAGCGAGGUUUAUGGUGGUGAGUGAGGUUUGUUAUGGAGGUGCUAAUGGUCCAAGGUUUCACAUUAGGUUCUACCCCAAUUAGGUUCUACAGUGGUGUUAAUUAUGACAGGUUUUUACAGUGUGUUAAUUAUGACAGAGGUUUUUACGGUGGUGUUAAUUGUGACAGGUUUUUACGGUGGUGUUAAUUAUGACAGAGAGGUUUUUACGGUGGUGUUAAUUGUCCCAGUGAGGUUUUUGCAGUGUGUUAAUUGUGACAGAGGUUUUUACGGUGGUGUUAAUUGUCCCACUGAGGCUUUUACGGUGGUGUUAAUUGUCCCACUGAGGUUUUUACGGUGGUGUUAAUUGUGACAGGUUUUUACAGUGGUGUUAAUUAUGACAGAGGUUUUUACGGUGGUGUUAAUUAUGACAGAGAGGUUUUUACGGUGGUGUUAAUUGUCCCAGUGAGGUUUUUACAGUGUGUUAAUUGUGACGGAGGAUUUUACGGUGGUGUUAAUUGUCCCACUGAGGCUUUUAUGGUGGUGUUAAUUGUCCCAGUGAGGUGGUUUUUUUUUUUUGGGGGGGGGG